rnacentral:rRNA from 1 species
GAUGAACGCUGGCGGCGUGCUUAACACAUGCAAGUCGAACGGACUUUACAUGAAACCUAGUGAUUGUAAAGUUAGUGGCGGACGGGUGAGUAACGCGUGAAUAACCUGCCUUAUACUGGGGGACAACAGCUGGAAACGGCUGCUAAUACCGCAUAAGCGCACAGCUUCGCAUGGAGCAGUGUGAAAAACUCCGGUGGUAUAAGAUGGAUUCGCGUCUGAUUAGCCAGUUGGCGGGGUAACGGCCACCAAAGCGACGAUCAGUAGCCGGCCUGAGAGGGUGAACGGCCACAUUGGGACUGAGACACGGCCCAAACUCCUAACGGGAGGCAGCAGUGGGGAAUAUUGCACAAUGGGGGAAACCCUGAUGCAGCGACGCCGCGUGAGUGAAGAAGUUAUUCGUAACGUAAAGCUCUAUCAGCAGGAAAGAUUAUGACGGUACCUGACUAAGAAGCCCCGGCUAACUACGUG